AGGACGAUGGAAUGGGAUAAACUCUAAGGUCCCUUCCAACCCAAACUGUUCUGUGAUUCCAUGACAGAAAUGAGUCAGUGCCUUAUGCUGGCAAAAGGUUCAAGAAGCACCUUCAUUACAACCCAGGCCAAACCUGACAACUGGACUGCAGUAUUCCAACGAAAGCAAAAUGAACAAACACAGCAGGAAGUUUUGAAUGACACAGCAGCAGCAGGGUUAAGUAACCUUUUCCAAAACCAGCCACCUAAUCAUGAGGGAUCAGAGGAAUGCAGCAUUUCCAUUCAGCUCCACAAGUUAUCCUGUGGUCAUCUGGUUCUUCAGAGGGAAACCCAAACUGUGGGCAAGUGGCUUUACAGUUUAAGCCACAAUCAAAGUCAAUUUGUGCUGCAGGUUGAACUUUUAGAAGAGGAGAAUGCAAAAAUCUCCUCGAGCUGACCAUCUCCUCCCAAAAUCCUCUUUAACACAGUGUGACUAGGCAGUUCCCUCCUGUGGAGGCUGGACAAGCUCCCAGGUGAGUGCUGGCAGCCCUUCCCCAGCAGCACAGGGUGGGUACAGUGCCAGGACAUGGCAGGACCACAAACCCUCAACAGCUGCAGCUCUGCUGGAGAAAGGGCCAAAAACGCAGCAGAGCACAAGGAAACAACAGCUGCUCAGUGAUUCUGAAUCGUUUUCCAAAGCUGGGAGAGAAGCCCUAUCACCUGUAACUGCGCCACUGAGUACCCAAAGCAGCCUCCAGCUCACCUGUUCUCUCUUGUUCCAAGGGUUAUCACCUUCUCCCCCCCAAAAUAGCCCAGAGACUUGUGUGCCCAACAUGCCCGUGGGCACUAAGGACCUGCCACUGAAUGAGGCAGCAACAGAAGGGGAGGAGGCCACGGUGCCUCAUCUCAGUUCUCAUCAGAGGACCUCAGCAGACAUGCACCAGAUGAUUCCAACCACUCCAGGACAAGAAACAUCAUUAUCAGGGAGAGAGCUAACAGAAAGUAGGGAUCCUGAUACAGGAACACAGGGUGGUCAGUCCUCAGUUCAACCUCUGCAUUCCUUGGGAGGGCUUCUAGGAUAACUUUCCAGCAAGGUGGUACAAAGCAGGCUGCAAUCAAAAUUCCUCACCUCUGGAAACAGAACAAAGCUGGUCUGGAGGGGCCAGGUAUCACCAGUGGUGUUUUUAAGACUUUGUGGAGAGCAGGAAAUCAAACAUUUUCGGAGAACAGUAAUGAAACAAACACAUUUCCUCAUUCAGCCUUCAUCCUCAAGUCCUUGCACCUGCAUCUAUCAGCAUUAAACUCCAUCAGAAAGCGUGGGAACUUCUGACUCCAUCUUAAAACACUUCUACCUAAAAAUCCACCCAAUGCCUCCUUCCUUUUCCCAAAACUGACAUUUUGCUGGCAGUGUAACAAGGGGAGCUACCCCUGUCUGAAAAAAUACCUUCCAAAGGGGCAGUAGGCUGCAUAAAAAUUGGCACAAUUUUGUAAAAACUCACAUUAAAUUUACUCUGAAGCAAAUGUUAAGUAAAUAAAUCUCUUUCCAUAGAUUACUGC
rnacentral:lncRNA from 1 species